GAGGCUGUUGGGCGGUGGUUGGAGUUUGAGUUGUGAUGGGGCUGGAGGGGACGGGGGGAUCCUGCUGGCCAGCUAGCCAACCCGCCCGCCCGCCCGGCGGGCCGUGGGGAAAGAACUGAGGCGCCUUAACGGUCCUGAGCCUGACGGGUCUCUGCUGGCGGUGGCCCACUGGGUCAGGGUGCUGGCUGAAGAGAUGAAAGCAAUGGAAGUCUGUUGAUGGCCUAAGCAAGCACUAACAUGACAAGAAGAUGUCCCAAGAGCAUGAAUUCUAGUGUGUUUUGCUGGAAGUUCAGACACUCACAGAAAUAGCUGUAUGUGGUGAAAGCCUCUGAGCACGAGAAGGGUGUGUAGGAAAAACUUAGAAAGUACCAAUUGCCCAGCAGUCCUGCAACUUCCUUCAUAAGGAGCUAUUAGAACCAGCCUGAGACCAGUUGCAGUCUAUGCAAGACUACUCCAUAAGAAACAAAAAACUUAAAAAGGUGGAAUAUUAAGCCUGCAUGUAGUAACACAAGGUGCUUGUAACUAUUGGGGCAGUGUCUGGUAAUGUUUAUGUAGACAAUAAAAUAAAGAUAGAUGUUUCUGUUGUCAGAGUGUCUAUCUUUCUCAAGCUGUAAUAGCAGUUGCUUCUGUUUGACAGUUCUGACUUCCUCUACGUGUUUUUUAGCAUACCAAUUCAUUCCUUUGGACUAAGUGAAACCUAGGAGCAUUAAGUGGAUGGGAGGUGAUCACUGAAACAAUGGUCUUCCAUAGUACUCAGAGAUUGAGUUAGCUGAGAUUUGUUAUUGUGGUGAGGAAAAGUAGAAAUUAAAAUUCAGCAAACCUGGGUUUAAAAAUAGCAGCAAGGGUAUUUCUCCAACAUGGAAAAUGGCAAGCUUGGUUUAUUACCUUGAUCAGCUGCACAAUACAGUAUUUCAACUAAAUUUGGAGUGAAAUACUGUAGGGAUAACAACUGGAAUUCCUGCUUGUUUUUUCAGGAAGACUUAUCAUAAAUUCAUUUUAUCAGAAGAACAAAUGCUGAAAUUAUGUAUUUUGCAAUGUCUGAUUUUUCAGUACUGCGUGUAAGCAAAUUAUUAAUGCAAAGUCUAAGCAUAAGUUAGUUUUUGGUUUGUCAAGAGGGAAGGAGGUUUAGACAAGAGUAAUUAAUUUUUAGUGAUCCAACAUGUAAUUAUUGGAUGCACUUGAAAGCUUAGGGCUUCUGUUAGGGAUUAUAUUCCCUGAAGAUACCAUCUGUUUACGAGUUUUGCUCGUGCGUCUUUGUUCCUGAAGUGCAAGGCUGGCAGUAGCAGCUUUUAAGACUUUUUUCUUCUUCAACUCUUGAGAGCAACAGCUAAUGCCAAGUUUUAAUGAUGGCCAUCUAAAAUGUUAAUUCCCUUUCAACAAGAAAAACUAUAGAAUCUUAAGCUUCAGUGUGUAGUACCUGUUUCAUGGUGUGGUGGAACAAAGAAAAAGUGAGGUAGAGGGAGGAAUAGGUGGGUAUAAGGGGCACUGAUUACUAAAAUAAUGUAAACAUUUAGUGCUAAACAUUAGGACUGCCUUUUAAUUUUUGAAUGGCUAACUGGACUGUACCCUUGAAAAAAACUUCGACUCCUUCAUGCUUUUUUUUUUUUUCCCUUCCUCUGCUUUACAUGAACACAAUGUCUGACUGUUGAAGUUGAUAGUAUGAAAAAUUGGAAAGGAGGACAGAUUCUGAGGUGGUCUAGGGGAGCAAGAGAACAAAGGUCUGUGCACUAGGUCGGUGUUCCACAAGCCCUCCUUUCUAUUACUUGCCUCCAGCGCUCUGUGGAAGAGGGCUUUUGGUAUUAAAGGCUGCAAAGCAGAACUCAAGAGGUGCACAAAGAAAGAAAACUGGCUUGUUCCAAACUGCUCUUUAACCUUUUAGCACACUGCAUCUGAGUUGACUAAUGCUAGCUCUUUGAAAUGAAACAGUCUGUAUCAGUGGGUGACCUGUGGGGGCAUUCUUUAGUGUAAAACUGUUACUGCUUUUGCCUAGCAAAGGGGCUUAUUUGUAGUAAAUGUAAUGGUAGUAUUUUAUGAAGAAUGACAAGUACAUUCUGAUAUCCUUAUUGAAGAAAUAACAGCAUAGUCCUAGCUAUUUUUUAGAUCUUAACUUUACGUGGUGAGUAAGGUGUAUCAGUUAACUUGUGACCAGCUGGGAGGGCAGUGGUUUUCUUCACUCUUGUACUGGGUCUGGCCGAGAUGGAGGUAAUUUUCCCCAUAGCAGCCCUCAUAGUGCUGUGCUGUUAUUACAAUGAUUGUCUUCUGGAGUAACUGCUACAUGUACUGAAGCCCUGCUUCCCAGGAAGUGGCUGGACAUCAUCUGCUGAUGGGAAGUAGAGAAUAAAUCUCUUGUUUUCCUUUGCUUCUGCAUACAGCCAUUGCUUUAUUAAACUGCCUUUAUCUUGACCCACGAGGUUUUUUUUUCCAUCUUAUUUUCUCCCCUCUGUGAUAGAGCGGCUUGGUGGGCACCUGGCAGCCAUCCAGGGUCAACCCACCACAACUCUUAUCAAACAAUUCUUAUCAAGGAAGCAAAUACAGGAGAGAAAUUAGAGAGAGACACACUGGCUCUGCAUCUGUAUGUUUGGUUUGACAGCUUAUGUAGUUUGCUGUUGCUUUUGGUGAUUUUUUUACAUAAGAAAGGAAACUAGUACAGGUAUGUACUGGAAGUAUAAAACUUUAUGCUGACAACUUUCUGCUACCAGGAAAAAUACUUAAUCUAGAGAAGCUGUAUCCUCAAGUGGAUUUUAAUUGGUACUACACCUGUUUUUACCAGAUGGUGUUGUCAAAUGAAUCUGUGUUUCUGAAGGCUUUGCUGCUUUGUGUCACAUAAAUAAGACACACAGGCAACCAUGGAAUGCCCUAAAAAUUCAAGUUUUACUUGACUUUUAAAUAUCCUGGAGACAAGUAUUGACACAGCCAUCUAUCAAACUCAUUUGAAAAUAAAGCACACAGUUGCGUCAUGAUUACUUAAUGUACAUAGAACAUACACAUCACACUGAUAUAUUUAUGUAUGUUGUUUUCAACCAUCUUCCUAGGGAGCUUUGAAUUAAACAGGCUUUCCCAAAAGAAAA